UUGGGCUAGAUCUCUUGAUGAUAGAAGAUCAACAUCAGGUUAUUGUACGUUUUUUGGUAGUAAUUUAGUCAUUUGGAAAAGCAAGAAGCAAAAUGUGACUGCUAGAUCCAAUGCAGAGGCUGAAUUCAAAGCAAUGGCUCAAAGCAUCUGUGAGUUAUUGUGAUUACGGAAGUUGAUGGAGGAAUUAAAACUGCUGGAAGCUAGUGGUUUGUCCU
rnacentral:misc_RNA from 1 species